AAGGUACUUGCUUGGAGUCUACAACAGUAACGCUUGCUUGGUGUGCAACAACCAGUGGUGGAAUCUUUAUGCCUGGUUCCUCAGUAACUAUGAAGACGGAGCGACAGACUGCCGUGGCCAGGGUGAAGGUGUCUCCUCCCUGCAGCAGCCCACAGAUGGAAGAUGAGGUCAUUAUUUGCUGUGGAGCCUUUCUGUUCUCUCCCUGUUUUCUUUCUGCAUGUCACACCCUGGCCUCUUAUAUUGAUUUUCUUUAUUAGUUUAGUUAGGUCAGGGUGUGACAUGGGGGAUGUUUGUGUGUUUUGUCUAGUUUAGGGUGUUUGUAUUGUAUAGGGGGUUUUGUUGAGUGUAUGGGGUUGGGCUUAGUAUAGUUCUCUAGGCAAGUCUAUGGUUGCCUGAAUGGUUCUCAAUCAGAGACAGCUGUCAUUCAUUGUCUCUGAUUGGGAGCCAUAUUUUAGGCAGCCAUAGACAGUAGGCUUUCGUGGGUAAUUGUCUAUGUUGAACGUUAGUAGCUUGUGUGUGCACUUUUGUUUAUAGCUUCACGGUCGUUUAUUGUUUUGUAAGAGUGUUUCGUUUUUGUGUUAUGUCUAAUAAAAGGAAGAUGUAUUUCUCUCA